rnacentral:rRNA from 1 species
AAUUUGAAAUCUGGCCCCUUCGGGGUCCGAGUUGUAAUUUGUAGAGAGUGCUUCGGGUGAGACUGCGGUCUAAGUCCAUUGGAACAUGGCGUCCCAGAGGGUGAGAAUCCCGUAUGUGACCGCGGCUCGAGCCCAUGUGAAGCCUCUUCGACGAGUCGAGUUGUUUGGGAAUGCAGCUCUAAAUGGGUGGUAAAUUUCAUCUAAAGCUAAAUACUGGCUGGAGACCGAUAGCGCACAAGUAGAGUGAUCGAAAGAUGAAAAGCACUUUGGAAAGAGGGUUAAACAGUACGUGAAAUUGUUGAAAGGGAAGCGCUGGCAACCAGACCUGUCCGUAGGCGAUCACCCGUUGUUCUCAGCGGUGCACUCGUUCUGCGAUCAGGCCAGCAUCGGUUCGGGCGGGCGGAUAAAGGUCUUGGGAAUGUAGCUUCCCUCUCGGGGGAGUCUUAUAGCCCUCGAUGCAAUGCGCCCAGCCGGGACCGAGGACCGCGCUUCGGCUAGGAUGCUGGCGUAAUGGUUGUCAGCGACCC